ensembl:lncRNA
UCUCUGCCCUUAUAGCAGCCUGUCCACUGUCCUCACAGCAGGGGAGAGCUGAUCAAUGCUCCUUCAUGCUGUGCUCAUUGCCCUGUCCUUAGGGUGGUCUGAGAAUCCCAUCCCCCCCCCCCUUUUUCCAGAGACAGAACAUAGUCUAGACUCACCGGGCAGGAGGAAGUCAGAAAACCCUGUUCUUUAUUUUUUUAAAUUAAGUUUACUGGUACAUUUUAGGUAUACAAUACAGUUACAUUCAUCAUUGGGAUCUUGUACCUUUACAUGAUGUAUCUUGGUUCUUAUUCUUUUCCGAUUCCUCUGCCCUCCCUUCACCCCCUCAAAUCUUCCCUAUUUACAAAGACUUUGUUUCCAUAUUUUUCCUUCUCUAGUAGUUCUGAUCCUUGCUUCACUGAUGGUUUUUCUAGGGCAUGGGGGCAUGGAAACAUCACUUGGUUGCAUGAGCUGCUCAUUCUGUUUUGCAGAAACAGUAAUAUAUUUGGUUUCCCACUUACCUGCCAGAGUGGGUUAGAAUGAAUGAGACUAGAUCUGUCUGGAGAAAGAGGUUAUUUGGACAUCCAGUCUGGUUUCCUCAAAUAGGGCAGCAGAAAGUUGCCAGGGCUCCCCCAAAGGCCAGGCGAGCCCAGGAGACUGGAGCAUUACGCUUUACUCAGACAGUGGAGACCACGCCUGUCUCCCCAAACAGCCCUGUGUGUGUCUGCCUUGAUGAUGCAUUUGUGCCGGUCGGGGAGUUGGACCUGCAGCAGAAGCAAAUGGUUGCCAGUCACCACUUUCCAUACAGAGCAUCAGCCAUGCAGGCUUCUGACUCACACUACACUCACCUGCACUCCGAGACUCGGGCACAGGGAGCUCCGGCUUCCCAGUGUGCUUCCCUUAGUAAUUACAGAGGCCCCCAACACUGCAGCUCACACAGAGCCUGGCCUUUGUGGCUGGAGUCGGACCCCAACACUCUGCUCCCCAAUCGCAUGCCCAGGGUGUGCACUGCCUUCUCUCAUUCUCCUCCCACUGAGGCACUUCCCAGCUGAGUUCUGCCUUGCCAUGCCCCACAUCUCCCACAAGGGGGAGCCCCCGGAGGGCAACUGGGGCUGAGGAAUUUUGGAAGCGCUGAAGUUUUCGACUCCUGUCCUGCAACUGGUUUUCACUCACCCAACGGUGAGAUUUCUUUGUUGCAGUGUUGGAGUCUGAGAUAACACUGCCGGAAGCUGCAGGCGAGAACCUUAGCUCAUUCUAUCUUUUAUUGUGUGUUGUUGUUUACCAGCAUUCUAAACUAAGAAGGAAAAGUAAUAAAGACAUGCAGGACUCACAGGCCCUGGAUGAAGACUGCCAGCCUCAGACAGAACCAGCACGUCUGAGGGACAACCAGGAGGUGCCUUUGGCUGUGGAGCUCAGGUUUGUCUUUGGAAAAGACUGAGAAGAACUGCUCCCACUCUGUUCUCCAGGAGACACAGGGGCAGGAAGAACAUAGCAUGCUCAUUAACGCUGAUGACCCUGACCUGACUGGAACCCAAGAUGGCGUGUUGGCCAGCAGCGUGGAAUCAGUGGAUUCUUCAAUGGAGACAGGUCGAAUUGUGUCACAUCCAGGAAGUCACUUCUGUGAAUGAUAAUUCUAUAGUGUUUCACUGCUUGUGCACUUUCCUCAUGUUCAUGUUCUCAGAGAUAUGAAAUGGCACAAGGUAAAUUAGCACAGAAGAUUUGGGGCCGGGGCAUGACAAAUUAAAAGCAUGACUGAAAGUAGCUUAUGAUAUUGAUGGAAUUCUCUGUGGACUGGGGAUGAUGUGACUAGAGAAAGAAGAAAGCUGCUGAAGUUUUCCAAGAGGUGAAGAGAAAAAGAAAUUACAUGAAGACAAUAGUGAAAGCAGAGAAGGGACAGAUAGAAGAUAUGCUGCACAGAAGAGCAAUAGGAUUCUAUAACUAAAAAUGGAUUUGGGGAGGGAGGAGCAGAAGGGCUGAAGCAAAGAUAACACAUACAAUUUAAAUCUGGAACUAUGAUGCAUAGUGGAUGUAAACUAGAAGAUUGGUAAAUGGAUCUGGUUUAGGUGUGGUUAGGUUUAUUGUUUUUGUAUUUAGCAUAAUGGUGUUGAGUGACUCCUAGUUGAGAGCGUAAGACUUGCCAUUACUAGCAUAAAAAGAAGGGUUUUCUAAGGAGUGAGAUUUUCAGGUAGAAACUUACAGGGCUUCCUUUGUGUCACAGUAGGACUGUAGGAUCCCAGCAGCUGUCAGAACCCUUUGGUUUUUUAGCACAUAAGUGCUUACUGUAAAAGUGAUCCUUUCCAAUGGAACUAAGGGUCACUUAGCUCUGCAGAUCCACUUCAGAUGUUGCAAAUGGUAAAUAUGGUUAGGAAAAUCUUGGAAAUGGAAGUUGGCUAAGAUAAAAUAUGCCCAAGUCAUAGAAUGAGUCAUAGGAAUAAAAUCUUGAAUAUCCUAUUUAGCCAUCAGCAAAUAUCCUGACAAAGCUAUCUACCUACUUUUAAAUAGAACAGCCUUUUUAUGCUUUUCUUUCAAUAGAUACUCAAUUUAUGGUCCUACUGCCUCCCUACACACACACACACACACACACACACACAGAAAAAUGAGUUCAAAAAGAGAAUGAAAAAUAUAUUAACUUGAAACCUGAUUAAUCAGCUUUAGGAGAAGAUCCUAUUAUCAUUAAGCUCUUGAUCAUCAUCAUACUCACACAUUCAUUGAAUGCCUGAUUGUGGUUAUACAAAGAACAUACACACACACACACACACGCACACACAAAUAAAUACAGAGCAGAAGUCACAUGGGCCUGUCCUCUCUGGGUUUAUGGACCCUAUGUAUAAGAGAGAAAACACAGGUAAAUGGCCAUAUAAAAGUGUUUACAUGAGUCCCUCUGCAAUUACAUUUGCAAGGCCGCAGCUAUCCUAUUUUAUCAAGGAAUGUAAUCUCCUGUUGUCUGAGUCACUUCUCUGGUCGGGGAGACAUACUACCCAACACUCACAAUUUGAAGGUGAGAGGUUUAUUUUGGCUCAUAAUUCAGUCCAUAGCUGGCUGACUCCAAAGCAAGACGGCAUGGCACAGGCGCAUGGUAGAUGUCUGAGCAGUGGGGAAGCAGAGAGGGAGUGAAGAGAGGAGCUGGGAUGGGAGGUAUAUCUUUCCAGGUCAAACCCCCAUUAACCCAUCUCUUCUGAUCAGAUCCCACCUCCUAACAGCAAGUCAACUAUAAUGCUCUCAUGAUCCAAUCACCUUUCAAAACUCCAGCCUGUGAGCACAUGAAACUUUUAGGGAACAUCUAGAUAUAAACCAUAACAUCUAUAUAAGUAAAAUUUUAUAAGAAGCAAAGCUUACCUAUUAGGCAUUACAGAAGCUUCUGGCUUUUCAGUCAGUAUAAACAGUUUCUAGCACUUCACUCACUUAAUGGCUAAGGGGCAUCCUUAGGAACAUUCUGUGUUGAUGAAUUCUGUGCUCUCAGUUGCCUUUCUUUGCCUUUUAUCUUUCAGUCAUUUUGGUCUUCAACUGUGGCAGCUACUUUUCCAGGUCUUCACGUGCCAGCCCCUCAGCUGAUCUCCCACUUCACUGGUGAUAUAUUACUCCAGAACAUCUUCAUCCCUACAAAGAAAGUUAACCAGGAUUGUCAUACAAUUGAAAUGGGCCAAUAAUUCUGAGUGAGGCUCCAAGGAGAAAGGCAGCUGGGUGUUGUGGAGAGAUCGAGAUAGCUGCUUGGAACAUUCUAAAGUGUUCUCUAGUAUUAGAUUAGAUGCGGUAAUGCUAGAGUAUUUAGGUAUUCUAAAGUAUCUCCAGCUCAGCCUCCAGAAAGCUGAAGUUGAAGAAAUACUGGUCUCUGGAUGAGAGAGCCGCUGCUGUCUUCACACUGGAGAUUAUUAGCUCCCAAGUUACCUCCUAAUUUAGGGAUAGAAAACAAGAGUAUCAUUCUGGAAAGUGGAGAUAUGAUAGACAUUCCUGAAAUCAACCUGAUAAAAUAAAAAAAAUUACAUAAUGUAACAGUAUAAAAAAUAAAGAUAUCCUACUCCUGUCCUGCAUGCCUUCUCCAAAAUACACAUGUAUAUUGUUAAUUUCCCUGAAGGUCAUUUUCUUACAUCAGAGUAAAGUGGUUUUUCACUCCACCACACUGUGAUUCCUGUCAUUUUUCAGAGCUUCUGAGUUCUGUCCCCAGUGAGUAACAAAACAGAGCCCAGAAGAGCCAACCACUGAAGAGUAAGUCACAUGCACAGCCUUUGGUGGAGAUAGAAAAGGGAAAAGUCCCCUUGGAAGAUCACAAAUGUCUUCUAUUAUUGAAAGAUUAAGAAGCACCAUGAUCAGCUCUGAGCAUCAGGAUUUCUGAUAAGUUGCUUGACAGAUAUGUGUAAGUCCCUGUUAGUAUCCAGGUGGACUUCAUGUCAGGUUAUGUGUAGCUUUUAUUUUUCUUCAUUCAUAAUUUUGAGGUUCUUCUUUGUAGUCACAUAUAGCAUUGCUCUUCCUUCACCAUGAUACAUACUAUUUUAAAGAAAACAUUUUUAAGAUUUAAAAUUUAUGAAAGCUAUUGGCUGUUUUAAAAUGAUAUAUAAAAUGUUCAGUUGGAACCACCAUUUAGAUUAUCCAUAGUAAUGUCAGGGGUUGGAGAACACUGCUUACAUUAGAAUAGUGUUUGUAUUUCCAUUUUGUUUAUCUUUAGUAUAUCUUUGGAGAGUGACUGAGGGUACAGCAUUCCUAUAUUAAACAAAGUUAAACUAGAGCCCAGAGAGGAAUGGGAUAUACAUAGUAAUUGGCCAUGCUUUCUGGAGCAGGAAGGGUGGCAGUUCAAUUAAGGAGGAAGAGUUUGGUCCAGCAGACUAAGGUCCAAGUAUGGAGCAGUAAUUUACAAAAAUAGAUGAAGUCUAAACAAAUAGAUAGGGUUGUAAAUUCUAAAACUGGGUAAUAAAUGUUAUAUAUUUACAGGGACUGCUUACUCUCUGCUUUAGUUUUAUGCUGUUCACAGGUACCUUUAGGGGCUCAGAAUUCUCAUAGAGACACAGAGGUUCCAAGAUGAAUUCUGUUCUCAGUGAGGCAAGAACAGAAAUACAAAGAUGGUCUCACCUCCAAGCCUACAGAGGUGGCAUGCUGAAACUGAGCUAAUAUUUCUAAGUUCAUUGGAUAAUUUCUCCCAUAAAAUUAUGAAAGGGUCAGAACAUUUGGGAAAUCUUAUUAUUCUGAAACAAGUUUCAAGAAAGAUAGGAGACUUCAAUUCUAUAAAGUAUCUUGAUAAUACCACAAGAAGCAAGAACUUCCAAGAAAGCUUUUACUCCACUCCUCAAGCAAAUGGUUUUUUUAAAAGUUACAUUUGAAAAUGAUUGCAUAAUUAACAUAAGGAAUGCAGAAUCAUUAGGAAAAUGUAGCAGGCCUUUCACAGCACAUGGAAGCACAAAAUACUUUUCCUGGCAGUGAAAAAGAUUAGGUGUCUGCAUAAAAAUUAAAGAAAUAAGUAUGUUGGUGCGCACCUGUAACUCCAGCCACUUGGAAAACUGAGAAAGGAGGAGUGCCAAGUUGUAGGCCAAUCUGAGCAACUUAGUGAAACCCUGUCUCAAAAUAGAAAAGGUGGGGUUGAGGUAUAGCUCAGUAUUUAAACACAUGCCUAGCAUAUGUGAGAUUCUGGGUUCAAUACCCAAAAAUGAAGAAAAAAAUUAAAGCCAAAAUUAUAAAUUAAUUAAUCUCAACUGCCCUCAAAAACACACUUUAAAAGACUUUCUAAAAAAUGGUGACAGUCAAUAUCACCUGAAGAUUUUGAAAUAAAAUCCAUCUUAACUGAGACAAUUGCCACUACAAUGGUGACGGAGAAGGGAAGUCGUAACACUUAUUGAAAGAUGAGAUUUUGCUUUGGAUGUAUUUGCAGUCCACGUUUACCCUCUCUGACCACCCCAUAAUUGAAGAAAGAUUAUUUCCAUUUUAUAGACAGGAAGCUGUGGGUUUGAGAGGGUAAGCAGCUUGCCCAAUGCCGCACAAUCAAUCAUAAUGGUGGAGUUGAGAUCUUACACUUAGCCUGCACUUCUCUUUCAAGACCAGAGACAGCUGGAUGCACUACACCACACUGACUGCUCCUCACCCUUACCCAAGAGGAUUUCAUUGUAGUUGAGCAAAGUCUAGCAUUGAGGAUAGUUUAAUAAUUAAUGAUCUACCAAACUGAGAUACAGAUUUUGUCUUGUGAAUAGAAAGGAUAUUGAUUCCAUUUGUUUUGCAUUCAAGCAAGGGAAAUUAGGUAAGACAUUUUUGAGCUUAUCUGAUAAGUAUUUCCCUGCUCUUUUUAACAAGCUUUGCUGUAGUUGGUCUGCCUAAAACUUUUGGCUCUAAUAAGAUUGAUUAAUACAAGAUGGUUUGAGGACCUAAAGGCUAACUGUAUUUGACUAUUCCUUUUAUUGUUCAUGUUGAUUCAUAUUGUUGGACAUGGACAUUUUAAAGUCCUGUGUACCAUUCUCACUCAUUCUUAUAUGCAAAUCCCCCUUCUUCCUGACAUAACACUACCUCAGACUGCCCACAUCCAUACCUAACUUUGUUAUCAUAUAGAAUAGGGGCCACCAAACUUUAUCUCUAUAGACCAGAAAGUAAAUAGUUUAGGUUUUGCAGGCCAGAUGACUGCUAUUACAAUUAUUCAACUUGGCUAUUUUGUGGGGGGAAGAAAGUAGCUCUAAAUUAUAGAGUAAACAAAUAAGCAAGACUGUAUUCCAAUAUAACAGGAGGCAGGAGAGAUUUGGGUCAAAGGCAUAGAUUGCUGACCCUUGAUCUGUAAGAAAGAAGUCUGUUUAUUUACAAAUGUUGAAAGCCAACUCAAGUCUCUUUGUAAGUCAUGAAGAGUUCUUCCCUAGUACAUAGUGGAUAAUGGAGAAAAUGACAAAACCCCUGUUAGGUCUGAGAUACAAUUUACAUGCAAGACUCAGCAUCCAUUGAAAUUGAGGAAUUUUGACAGAGUUUCUAUCCAUAACACCACCACCAUCAAAAUAUAGAACACUUUCCUUAUCUCUCAAACUUUUCUGAGUCCUGUCAUCCAUUUCUCCUGGUGGCCCUAUUCCCAGGCUUUUUCUGAUCUGCUCUUUUCGCUAUAAAUUAGUGUGUACUUUCUAUAGCUUUAUACAAAUG